rnacentral:rRNA from 1 species
ACCCGCACAAGCGGUGGAUGAUGUGGAUUAAUUCGAUGCAACGCGAAGAACCUUACACCCUUGACAUGUCCGGAACUUGCCAGAGAUGGCUUGGUGCCCGAAAGGGAAUCGGAACACAGGUGCUGCAUGGCUGUCGUCAGCUCGUGUCGUGAGAUGUUGGGUUAAGUCCCGCAACGAGCGCAACCCUUAUCAUUAGUUGCUACGCAAGGGCACUCUAAUGAGACUGCCGGUGACAAACCGGAGGAAGUGGGGAUGACGUCAAGUCCUCAUGGCCCUUAUGGGUAGGGCUUCACACGUCAUACAAUGGUCGGUACAGAGGGUUGCCAAGCCGCGAGGCGGAGCCAAUCCCACAAAGCCGAUCGUAGUCCGGAUUGUUCUCUGCAACUCGAGAGCAUGAAGUCGGAAUCGCUAGUAAUCGCAGGUCAGCAUACUGCGGUGAAUACGUUCCCGGGUCUU